rnacentral:rRNA from 1 species
GACGAACGCUGGCGGCGUGCCUAAUACAUGCAAGUGGAGCGACGAACCAGGGCUUGCCCUGGGGCAAAGCCGCGAACGGGUGAGUAACACGUGGGUUACCUGCCCCGAUGAUUGGGACAACCCGAGGAAACUCGGGCUAAUACCGAAUGUGCCCUCCGGCCACAAGGCCGCUGGGGAAAGGAAGCUUCGGCCUCCGCAUCGGGAUGGGCCCGCGGCCCAUUAGCUUGUUGGUGGGGUAACGGCCUACCAAGGCGACGACGGCUAGCUGGUCUGAGAG